CUACGGGAGGCUGCAGUGGGGAAUAUUGGGCAAUGGGCGCAAGCCUGACCCAGCAACGCCGCGUGAGGGAAGAAGGUUUUCGGAUUGUAAACCUCUGUCCUUGGGGACGAAGAAGUGACGGUACCCAAGGAGGAAGCUCCGGCUAACUACGUGCCAGCAGCCGCGGUAAUACGUAGGGAGCAAGCGUUGUCCGGAAUUACUGGGCGUAAAGGGUGCGUAGGCGGCAUAUUAAGUCAGGUGUGAAAUACUCGGGCUCAACCCGGGGGCUGCAUUUGAAACUGAUAUGCUUGAGUGUGAGAGAGGAAAGUGGAAUUCCUAGUGUAGCGGUGGAAUGCGUAGAUAUUAGGAGGAACACCAGUGGCGAAGGCGACUUUCUGGCUCAUAACUGACGCUGAGGCACGAAAGCGUGGGGAGCAAACAGGAUUAGAUACCCCUGUAGUC
rnacentral:rRNA from 1 species